rnacentral:lncRNA from 1 species
CACUUUGAAGAAUGGGUACAGAACUUUGCUCCAUUCUGCAAGUUCCUUCGGGAACUGAUCAUUCAUGCCUAUUUUCGUCCAAUCAAGUCUUUGGCCCAAGCUUUUAACCAUUAUUUUAUGCUUAAAGAAUGCACAUUUGGCAAUGAUUGUGCACUCAUAUCUCUGUCCUUUCUGUCCAAAACGAUGUACACGUUCGAGUUUGAUUUUGCUGACUGGAAUCUGUAGCGCUUUAACCAGGAAAUGUUUCACCACACUCCCAGAUCUUCACCCUCAUUCUCUUUAAUACCAGUUAUAUCACCUGUUUUGGUGAACCCCUCCUGCAUCUGAACUGGCUGACACAGAGGGCACAGCAUGAUCAUAGGUAGGUUUUGAUGUGAGAGAGGAAGCCAUUCCCGUCGUCGCCUCCUCACCCGCUCUUAAGAUAACCUUUGGGCCGACUGGGGGCCCAAGGCUAGUUAGGAGACACCGCAAUUGUGAUGAACUGAGAGAAUAUUAGGGUAGCACUGUAAUUCAUGAAUCAUAUGCUGUCUGCCUCUGUUCUUACCUCUUUCCCUUUCUGUCUUCUACACUUCUCUCCCCACCUUGUCUUUCUUCCUCGUUUUAUAAUGCACACCAUAUGUGCAUUGAAGUACAGAUUGAACUUGUAUUUAUAAUAUAUUACAAUUAUCAUAAUUAUAAUGCAUUUAUUAUGUAUUUAUAACACCUGGAUAAUGAACUUCUUUCAAUAAAGCGUUUCACAUUCUCCACUGGUUGAAAGUAAAUAUCUCAUUGAAAUACUAUCCUGUGUCCUCAGAUUAAUGCAGAUGAAGGGAG